GUCUGCCAGGAAGUGGACAAAAAUGUCUCACUGGUUACUAAGAACAUUUGGAGGCAAGCAUACUGACAGCAAAAACACCCGGGGACGAGGACCUCACACUCAGCAGACAGAGGAGGCAGGAUCACAGUUCUUCCUUCUCCAGCCUCCUGAGAAGCUCCUCCCUCUGCCCCACCUCCUGGGGAAAGCUGACUGGGCUAAAGUGGGAGUGCAGUGGAAGUGAGGAGAGGCAGGUGGCAACGUCAGUCUUUUACAAAGAAUAUCCCCGAUUGCAGUCAGAGAGAGGAGAAGAGAAGGAAUAUGAAAUCUCAGUUUCCAGAGAGAGAUGCAGAUGCCAGAAGGGACAAUUAGAGAACUAACAAUGAGUCUCUUCAUCUGGAAAAAAUUGGAAGUCAAAGCAAGGAGGUCACUUGCUCUGGGGAAAGCCACCUGCCAUGCCGUGAGGACAUUCAAACUGCCUAUGGAGAGGUCCACAUAGUGAAAAACUAAGGCCCCUGCCAAAACCCAUGUGAGCCAUCUUGGAAACAGAUCCUUCAGCCCUAGGCAAGCCCUUAGAUAAUGUAGUGCCAGCCAACAUCUUGACAGCAGCCUGCAAGAGACUCUGAGUUAGAAACAACCAGCGAAGCCAUUCCUGAAUUCCUAAUCCUCAGAAUCAGCAUGAUAAUAGUAAAUGCUUAUUAUCAGAUACCAUCAGCAUAAUGUCAUCAAUGCAGUGGACCAGUGUGACAUGGGGAACAUAAAGAUGGUCACGAUUUUUGCAGACUCCAUAUGCAAAGUAUUAUAGGCCUUUCCAUCUAUCCGGAGUGACCUACCAGAGACAGGACAGUUUGACCAGCAAGCUUCUGAUCACUCUUCAACACCCAGCAAGAAGUCUUAUCCUCCAUGCAGCCUUCUAAGACCUCUCUAAGCACAGGUAUCAGAUCCUCCUCUGGAUCACUCUGUCUUGUUACUGCAUUUAUCUCACUGGAUUUCAGUGACGUGUGUAGACAACUAAUUUGUGCCUGCCUGAUCUGUGAGCUCUUCAUUCAAAGCAGUUGGCUCCUGAGUACAGGAUAAACCCCUAGAAUUGAAUAAAUUUGGUCUUACCUCA
rnacentral:lncRNA from 1 species